rnacentral:lncRNA from 10 species
AGAUCGGGUUUUCCCAGGGCAUGGAAAGGACAGGGCUCCCAGUGGAGAUAUCAUGUAGCUAUAGGGCCUAGAAGUAUUUUUUCAGUAGAUGAAAUUUAGAAAUAAUUUGAAUAUUUUAUGCUGGGGAGGUAGCUUGUGGAGUGAAAUGGUCGGGUAAAGGAAACACUGAGUUCAAGUGCUUCUUUAUAAAGGACACUUAACUGAUCUAAAUAUUUGUCAAGCUGAAUCGCUACAUCCACUCUCACCUGCCUGAAAUCAAUAUGCUCAAGUCAAACGCAUUUGCCUGCAUCUGAAUGUGGAGAAUGAACUUCUUAAAGCUGAACUGGCAGCUGGAAGGGGAGAGAGAAGAGCUGGACAGGGAGCCAGGACACCGGAGUUCUUUUCCACUGUGGUGGGAUCUGGAAGAAGCUGUUGAAUCUCUGUAGAGUUAGCUUUUAAAUGCUGUGAGUCUUUGGAAAGCUGUGCGAAUAACUGCUAAACACCCAGGACAGCUUAUGCAUUUUUUGAAAAAGACCCCAUGAUUACCCUGCAAACAAGCUCACACUACUGGAUGACAGAGACAUACGGCCCAGUCAUCCUGUCACCAUCACUGUUUGUCAAACAGCUGCCUGACAUAUGAGUAAAGUCUUCCUAGACCAAGCAGCCCUCAGCCAUCCUGCCAGCUGACCACAGAUGCACGAGCAAGUCAAGCCAAAAUCACUCAAACCUGGCACAAGUCAACAGGCUGGUUCCUGGUGCUGGUUCCAGCAGAAUAGACACAGAGAUGCAUGGCCUAACUCCCACUCCCUCUUCAGGACUGAGCCACGCAGCCCCCCAUCUGCCAGAAGUGUUAGCUGUUGACGGCUCACAGCUGAGUCCCUCUCCAGGCAUUGCUGAAAAGAGCCACCUUGCUCUAGGAUGUGCCCCCACCCUGGGGGCAGCAUACAUUCCAAGUGAUUAGUCCAUAGUGUGGUACAAAGGUUGUACCCAUCUUGCCUGAAUUCAGGAUCUCUUGGAAAACCACCCCAGCUCUGCAGCUCCUGGUGGGGUGCUGAGGCCUCUGCUGCAGCUGCAUCGCAGUUUACUUUCCCCUCUGCCUAGUCCUGCUGCCUUCACUCCCCAACAGGUAUUGUUCCCCAGAGAACUCCCUGCCCCCAGUCACCUGUAAGCAAAUCUCCACUGCAGUCUGUGGCCUGGGAAACCUGCUCUAGGAUCCCAAAGUGAACACAGCUUCCCAUUGAAAUGUGUCUUUGGGUGUUAAUCUGUCCUGCCAUCUUUACAUCUAAUCAAGAGGUAGAGCUUCCCCUGGUGUUCCUGCUGGGUACAUAAAGGAUCUUUUCCAUUGUCUUUUAUGUCGUUUGUAAAUUGAAUCACCUCAUUUGUUCUGACCUGGAUAAUUUUCUCCGUUAAUGCUUGUGUUGGUUCGCAACACUGGGUCUCUGUAAGCAGACACCCUUACCACUUUUUAUUGCAUCCCAAGUACUUAUUUCAGAUAUUGUAAAACAACAGCUCUCCUUUAAACACCUUGAUUUUCUAUUACCUAAAUUUAGUUUCUUCUUUUGGUACUUGAAUUAUUUCCUUAGGGAAUGUAAAGAUCCCAUAAAUUCCUUUUUUAUUUCUUUUAUUCAUGAGAUUAUUCCUAGUACUUCUAGAUAGUAAUUUGAAAUUUAUUGAAAUAAAUUACAACAGGACCCCAUUCUUUAUAGUUCAUUAUCACCAAGAAUGCAAUAUAUCAUGGAUUAAAUCAUGCUCUCCCCAAAUGUAACUACAACCAACAAAAGACUGAUGCAGGGCCAUUAGAGGAUAAUAGGAAAGAGUUGGCAAUCUUUUCAAAGUAACGUGUUGAGUCUUCGCUCCUUCACAGGCAUAAGGGGAAUGAAUGUGCAUGUAGGUGAGCGAGUAAGAACCAGGAAAGGGUGGGGGCGUUUCCUCACACUUUAAGCACCGGGGAUUUGCCCAUGCAUCUGGUGGGAAGUCUUUUGCCUGGUUUCCAGCCGUCUAGCCACAUGAAGUCGCCAGUCCCCACCUCUGCUAAUAGUAAAGAUGACAUGGGAAGAGAGAAGGGAUGUCUACAUAGACUUAUACUUUAAUUCUCUCCAUUCACUCAUUCAACAAAUAUUUUUCAGUUCCUCCAUAGUACCAUGCCCAGGUGGCACCAUGCGAGAUACAGAGCAUCUCUGUACGCACUCUGACUCCUGACUUGAAAUGUGCCUCUUGGUGCUGAAUCCCAUAUCACCCGCUCUGAACAUGCCAUCUACUGUGGAAAUCUUCAAUCUUUAAUUAAUUUUUCCUGUUACAGGAAGAUUAAGUCUAAAAGGGUAUCUCCCCUAGUUGAUCCAGAACUAAAUAACAUUGUUUUCAGUACUUCCAGUAACUUGCUUACACUCUUACUUCUAAAGCAUUGAAUGUAUCAUCUUAUGUGCUUGUCACCCCCAGCUUGUGUCAUAGGAGAAAGUAUACGGAGAUCAGGUACAACUUCAGUUCAACAGCUUAUGAGCUAUUGGAUCAGUCUCCUUAUUAAUCUCUCAGAGCCUCAAUUUCCUUGUUUAAAAUGGGGGCAAUACCUACCUUAAGGAAUUUCUUGAGGAUCAAAAGAAACCCUAGUAACAAAGCCUUGAACCAUGUCUGACUUAUAGUAUAUAUUCUAACUGCAAGUUCUUUUCAUGUCUUGUCCAUGAAUUCUUCAUUCAUUCAUUCAUUCAUUCAUCCAACAACCAAGCAUUCACUGAUGCUCCAAUUGUGCAAGACACUGUUUUAGGCCUUGAGAAUACAAACUGCACAAGCAGGACAAUGUAACCAGUGUUAUGCAGGGUCUGGUCUAGUGGGAGGAGAAGACAGUGACCAUGGCCCAUGAUGAGUGACAGAAUGAAAAGUAAUCAGGAAGAUAUGAUAGGAAAUACAGGGAGAAUGGGAGAGUCUGCUUUAUGUUGCAUAAUCAGAGGGCAGCUCUGGACAGGCAAAAUUUGAGCUGAGACCUAAAUGACAAGGAGUGAAGCCAAUGGAACAUCUGAAAGAAUAGUUUUCUAGAAAGAGAGCCCAGCUAGUGUGAGCCCUAAAGUAGGUAGAAAAUGGGCUUGGAGGGUUUUAUAUGAGGAGCAGCGGGAAGUAGGCAGAGGCCUGGUCAUUGUAGGUCAUGUUGGCUAGAGUAAAGAGCUUGUGUUUGAUUCUCAGGGCAAUGAAGAGCCUUUGGAGAAUUUAAAGCAAAGUGGGGAGGGGGAACAAGAGCUGAUUUACAUUAUUCUGAACAGCACCAGGAGGGAUAGUACUGGAUAAUAAGAGUGGUAAAAGGAGACCAUUUAGGAGGUUAUAGCAAUUGUCCAGGGUGGCCUGGCCUGCCACGGUAGCCACAGAGACGGUGAGAGGUGAGGAGGUGCCAGGUACCGUCAUGGGAGACAUAAUGACAUUCGAUCAAUGCUGAACUACAUAUAUGACGGUGGUACCAUGAGAUUAUAAUGGAGCUGAAAAAUUCCCAUCACCUAGUGACCUCGUAGCUGCUGGAACAUUGCAGGGCAAUGCAUACACACAUGUAUGUGGUGAUAGUGGUGCACACAAACCUACUAUGCUGCCAGUCCUAUAAAAGUGUAGCACACAGGAUUAUGUACAGUACAUAACACUUGAUAAUGAUAACAAAUGACUAGGUUACUGGUUUAUGCAUUUACCAUACUAUACUUUUAUCGUUAUUUUAGAGAGUACUCCCUCUACUUAUUUAAUAAAUAUAGUUAACUGUAAAACAGCCUCAGGCAGGUCGUUCAGGAGGUAUUCUAAAGAAGGCAUUACUAUCACAGGAGAUGACAACUCCAUGCGUGUUAUUGCCCCUGAAGACCUUUCAGUGGGAUACAGUGUGGAGGUGGAAGACAGUGAUACUGAUGAUCCUGACCCUGUGUAGACCUAUGCUAAUGUGUGCUUGUGUCUUAGUUUUUCACAAAAAAGGUUUAAAAAUAAAAAUACAAAAGAAUAAAAAAGGUUAUAGAAUAAGGAUAUAAAGAAAGAAAAUACUUUUGUACAGCUGUAUAAGUGUUUGUGUUUUAAAUUAAGUGUUAUUACAAAGGAGCAAUAGAGUUUUCACAAAUUAAAAAGUUAAUAAAUGUUAAAAGUCACUGUAAGCAAGCUAAGGUUAAUUUAUUUUUGAAGAAAGAAAUUUUAAAAAUAAAUUUAGUAUAGCCUAAGGAUACAGUAUUUAUAAAAUCUACAGUAGUCUACAGUAAUGUUCUAGGCCCUCACCUUCACUCACCACUCACUCGCUGACUCACCCAGAGCAACUUCCUGUCCUGCAAGCUUCAUUCAUGGUAUCUUUUAAAGAAUCCCAGUGGACAAAAUCCUACUGGACCAGCCCAUGAGGUGCCCCCCGACUCCAGUCCAAUCGGGUAUGGCUACAUGCUGAGUCACAGGAACUAAAAAUGAACAGCCCCCGACCAUGCAGGGCCAGGCCCAGGACAGCUGCUGCGAGUGAUGCCUGCAAGUCCAGAAUGAAAGUGGGUUGUUCCCAUGGCAACAGAAUACAAGGCAGAGAACUCCAGAGAAGGGGGGCGGGUGCAUCUCUACACUCAAGGCCAUAGCUGCAAGAAAGCCCCAGGCUCCAGGAUGGUGGCAGCAAAGAGAUGCAACCUGCCAUGACAUCACACUGCCAGAUGGCCUGCUGUUGACAUAGGGUUCCCCCCCAACUAAUUAUUUGCAUAAAUCUGGAUCAUUCAUUCAAAGAAAAAUAAAGGAUUCACUCAAGUAUACAUUGACGUACUUAUUAGACAGUUUUUCUCUUUGAACAACUUAGUAUUACAAACAUUCCCCAAACACCAAGCACAUAGUUGCCUUACACAUGGAAGCUGUUUAAGAAGCAUGUAUUUCAC